UUAGAAUCGCAGCAUAGCAACACGCUAACAGACUACCACGCAAAACAAUCGGACGAACUAUCAUAACAACAGCAAAAGGUAUUUGUUCCAAGUAUCUCUCCCCAGCGGCUCCAUCUCUCUCAGUGUAUAUAACGAGGCGUGUCGAUUUCCACAUACACUCAGCAGAGAGCAACCACCCUGGAUUUACUUGUUCAACUGGCUAAGAGACUGACACAUAUUCAAGAGAAAGGAGAGAGUUGAAGAGGUUGAUGAAAAGGAUGAUGCAAAUAACGUUUGCAAAAGAACACCCAGGGAUGAUGAAGGUAGCCCAGACUCACAGCAGGGUGAGGAGGAGCCAGAGACUCUGCUCGAAGAAACAGCAGGACCCUC